UACGUAGGGGGCAAGCGUUGUCCGGAUUUAUUGGGCGUAAAGCGCUCGCAGGCGGCCUGAUGCGUCGUGCGUGAAACACCCCGGCUCAACUGGGGGGGGUCGUGCGAUACGGUCAGGCUCGAGGCCAGUAGGGGGCCGCGGAAUUCCGGGUGUAGUGGUGGAAUGCGUAGAGAUCCGGAGGAACACCAGCGGCGAAGGCGGCGCCUGGACUGGUACUGACGCUCAGGAGCGAAAGCGUGGGGAGCGAACGAGG
rnacentral:rRNA from 1 species